UACGUAGGGGGCAAGCGUUGUCCGGAUUUACUGGGCGUAAAGAGCGUGUAGGCGGCCAGGCAGGUCUGUUGUGAAAACUGGAGGCUCAACUUCCAGACGUCGACAGAAACCGCUUGGCUAGAGUCCGGAAGAGGAGAGUGGAAUUCCUGGUGUAGCGGUGAAAUGCGCAGAUAUCAGGAGGAACACCGGUGGCGAAGGCGAGUCCCUAGACAACACCUGACACUGAGGCACGAAAGCUAGGGGAGCAAACAGG
rnacentral:rRNA from 1 species